GACGAACGCGGCGGCGUGCUUAACACAUGCAAGUCGAACGUGAUUUUUGUGGAAAUUCUUUCGGGAAUGGAAAUGAAAUGAAAGUGGCGAACGGGUGAGUAACACGUGAGCAACCUACCUUACACAGGGGGAUAGCCGUUGGAAACGACGAUUAAUACCGCAUGAGACCACAGAAUCGCAUGAUAUAGGGGUCAAAGAUUUAUCGGUGUAAGAAGGGCUCGCGUCUGAUUAGCUAGUUGGAAGGGUAAAGGCCUACCAAGGCGACGAUCAGUAGCCGGUCUGAGAGGAUGAACGGCCACAUUGGAACUGAGACACGGUCCAAACUCCUACGGGAGGCAGCAGUGGGGAAUAUUGCACAAUGGGGGGAACCCUGAUGCAGCGACGCCGCGUGAGCGAAGAAGGUUUUCGAAUCGUAAAGCUCUGUCCUAUGAGAAGAUAAUGACG
rnacentral:rRNA from 1 species